CGUGAGAAAUCCUGCUGGUCAACCAUAGCUCUGGUCAAACUCUCCAGGGCUGUGAUUGACCAGCAGGACUUCUCAUG
ensembl:miRNA